GUCGAACGGUAACAGGUCUUUCGGGAUGCUGACGAGUGGCGGACGGGUGAGGAAUACAUCGGAAUCUGCUCAGUCGUGGGGGAUAACGCAUGGAAACGUGCGCUAAUACCGCAUACGACCUUCGGGUGAAAGCAGGGGAAUCUCUCGGGAUCCUUGCGCGAUUGAAUGAGCCGAUGUCGGAUUAGUUAGUUGGUAGGGUAAAAGCCUACCAAGGCCACGAUCCGUAGCUGGUCUGAGAGGAUGAUCAGCCACACUGGGACUGAGACACGGCCCAGACUCCUGCGGGAGGCAGCAGUGGGGAAUAUUGGACAAUGGGGGCAACCCUGAUCCAGCCAUACCGCGUGGGUGAAGAAGGCCUUCUGGGUUGUAAAGCCCUUUUGUUGGGGAAGAAAAACAACGGGUUAAUACCCCGUUGGUAUGACGGUACCCAAAGAAUAAGCACCGGCUAACUUCGUGCCAGCAGCCGCGGUAAUACGAAGGGUGCAAGCGUUACUCGGAAUUACUGGGCGUAAAGGGUGCGUAGGUGGUUGCGCCAGUCUGUCGUGAAAGCCCUGGGCUUAACCUGGGAAUGGCGAUGGAAACUGUGCAACUAGAGUGUGACAGAGGGUGGUGGAAUUCCUGGUGUAGCAGUGAAAUGCGUAGAGAUCAGGAGGAACAUUCGUGGCGAAGGCGGCCACCUGGGUCAACACUGACACUGAGGCACGAAAGCGUGGGGAGCAAACAGGAUUAGAUACCCUGGUAGUCCACGCCCUAAACGAUGCGAACUGGAUGUUGGGUCCAACUUGGGAUUCAGUAUCGAAGCUAACGCGUUAAGUUCGCCGCCU
rnacentral:rRNA from 1 species